rnacentral:rRNA from 1 species
AAAAAUUUAUACACGUCUGAGAGGGUACAGAAUAUGGAGCAAGUCAUUGACACGGUGCCAGUUAAAGUAACACCUGAGAUGAAUGAUAUACUCAAUGCUCCGUAUAGCCAAGAUGAAGUUAAAAAGGCUCUUUUCCAGAUGUUCCCUAUCAAGGCACCAGGGCCUGAUAGCUUCCCGGCUCACUUCUUCCAACGCCAUUGGGACGUGUGUGGCGCGGAUGUGACCAAGGUGGUACUCAGAAUAGUGGAUGGGACAGAAUCGGCUGACUGUAUCAAGGAGACCGUACUUGUCCUAAUCCCUAAGGUAAAAAACCCAACAUUGUUAUCAUAG